GACGAACGCUGGCGGCGUGCCUAAUACAUGCAAGUAGAACGCUGAAGGAGGAGCUUACUUCUCUGGACGAGUUGCGAACGGGUGAGUAACGCGUAGGUAACCUGCCUGGUAGCGGGGGAUAACUAUUGGAAACGAUAGCUAAUACCGCAUAAGAGUAGAUGUUGCAUGACAUUUACUUAAAAGGUGCAAUUGCAACACUACCAGAAGGACCUGGGUUGUAUUAGCUAGUUGGUGGGGUAACGUCUUACCAAGGCGACGAUACAUAGCCGACCUGAGAGGGUGAUCGGCCACACUGGGACUGAGACACGGCCCAGACUCCUACGGGAGGCAGCAGUAGGGAAUCUUCGGCAAUGGGCGGAAGUCUGACCGAGCAACGCCGCGUGAGUGAAGAAGGUUUUCGGAUCGUAAAGCUCUGUUGUAAGAGAAGAACGAGUGUGAGAGUGGAAAGUUCACACUGUGACGGUAUCUUACCAGAAAGGGACGGCUAACUACGUGCCAGCCGCCGCAGUAA
rnacentral:rRNA from 1 species